rnacentral:sRNA from 1 species
GAUAGAGCAAAUGAUAGAGCAGAGCAAUGCUGCUAAGCAGCUAGGCAUUUUUCUAGGCACUUCUCUGCUGAGGCUGUUUUAAGCACCAUUCAGGAAGAUUACUUGAGAGAGCUGCUGACAACCAUGGGGGAUCGGUUUACGGAUGAGGAAGUGGAUGAGCUGUACAGAGAAGCACCUAUUGAUAAAAAGGGGAAUUUCAAUUACAUCGAGUUCACACGCAUCCUGAAACAUGGAGCAAAAGACAAAGAUGACUGAAAUAACUUCAAAUUCCAGCCAAACGUUUCUUGUUGCCACUUUGGGUAUUCUGAGAUUUCCUCUUGCAUGCCCUUAGCUUUACAGCUUUUGCAUUUCCUGUUGUAUUUAUUCUCAGCCAUUUUGGGCAUAUGUAUCUUUAUAAUCAGACUGGAAACGGGACUUUCUAUUAAUAUCAUUUUCAGAAUAGAAAAUAGGGUAAUUUAACCUA